rnacentral:lncRNA from 1 species
AGGACACCAUCUUCUUGCCAAACGCUACACCGCCCUGCCGCAGACCGGCGACGCUGCGGAGGGAUUUGUGAGCCCUGAGUCAAUUCUGCCAAGGCUGUAGGAGGAGGCUGGAGGAUAUGCGGAGGAUGGAGUCAGCGGUGUCAAGCCACAGAGGACUUUUAGAGGCAAAAGGGUACCACGGAAGAAAUUUAAAGCAAGGCUAUGAUAAAUGAUAUUUAGGUUUUAAGAAAAGAGUUCGAGUAGUUUCCUGGGCAAGAGGUGGUGGCCUGAUGUGGGAUGUUAAUUGUUGGGAGACAGAAAAGAGGUUCCAGAUUCAAGAAUCAUGAGGGAAUUAAAUCAAUAGGACAUGGUGAGGAUUAGGUGGGGUGAGGAGAGUGUGGAUCCUGGGGCCUGAGCUUCUUGGAGAAUGGUGUUGUUGCCAUCCAAGACAGACAAUGAGGAAGAACAGGUUUGUGGGGCAAAGGCUGAGCUCAGUUUAGGACAUGCUGAGUUGGAAGUACUAAGGCACAUUGGGUGGAGGUGGCCAAAUGUGCAGAUGAUUGGCUGUGUCUGAAGUCCUGUGGAGAAGCUGGGCUGGUGGUAGAGACUGGGAAGUUCUCAGAAUAGAGGUAGGUGAAACCGGGAGACAGAUGAGUUCACUAGAGAUGGGGGAGAAGAAACAGAACUCAGGAAGGAAACAGAGAAGGAACAGUUAAGGAAGAAUGGAGGAAACUAGGGGAGUGUGUUGUCAUGGGUACCAAGGAGGAGUUUCUAGAAGGAGGAAGUGAUCAGCCACAUCAAACACAGUAAGAAAGUUCUAAAUACACAAGGGCUGAAAAAAUAGCCUCAAUUUUGGCAAUGCCAAAGUCACAGUGACCCCAGGCUGACAUCACCCAGCAUCAUCCAGAUGUCAGCCCCUUGUAUUCAAAUGGCUCACAUUUAGGUGAUCGCUCACGGUCAUUCUCACGUCUUCCUUGUCUCCUUCAAAGUUUAAACCGUUUUAUUUGCUGGUGCCCUGGCUGACUCUGAAAUUGUGGACACACAAUGGCUAUCUUCCAUGUUUAUCACUCAGGGCCCUUUCUAUUUGCCACUGUCACCUCAGAGUCAGCCCAGGCCAGCGCAGACGUAGGUGCAGGCAUCCAUGAGUGAAAAUGGGUUAGCUCACUAUGGGGUUUCCCUCCCAGUGUUGGGGAUCACCUUUGUUUUCCUUUCCUCUCUGGAUCAGGCCAAUGUCCACCUCGUCGUCAUGAAGUAAUGCUGGUUGCUACUGGUAGUGGUGCCCCUGCCAGCCCCUGUUUCCCCACCUUAGGUCCUGGUGUCUCCAUGAUGCGUGGACACAAACUGAUGAGUUGUCUCCAGGGAGAGCUGGAUCCACAAGCUGAGGAUGUCUCUUUGCCCAGUCUGGUUCUACUGUAUUGGAGGUUCGAAGCUCUAGGGAAAAAUACAGGAGACAAUAAGCCACCAUCACCUGUGGGAACUAGAAGAGCUCUAACAGUGGCACUCUCUGGACCCAGAGGGUGGAUGUUGCCCCUCCAAUGACAGCCAUCCACCUGGCCUGCCUCCGGCAGCUGUAAUGGAGAUGCUCAUACCCUCCCCAGACGGCCACAACAGGGAGCUUGCCAAGGUUUCUCUAUCACUGCGGUGGGCACUGUACAGAUGGAAUCCCACAUGUUGGGCAAAAGAUCAGGAUCCUUUUUGAUCUCCUGCACAGCAAACUCCAGAGCUGCAGCCUGUUGAUAGUUUCUGUGGAGACACUUGCAGUUUAGAGACAAUAUCAUAAUUAAGAACUUUCUUGAAAAUACAACUUGACCUCCAUGUGUCUGUGGGCUGGUUCCUUUUUAAACUUUAAGAUACCAGAAAUUAUGAGAUGUUAUCUCUUCAGACAUUAUAAAUAGUGUUUU